UGAUAUUUUUAAAUCUAAAGAAAUACUUGAGUAUCGAAUUUUUGAUUAGUGGCGUAUAUUUUGAUGAAAUAAGUGCUACUUAUCUACUGAUCAUAAUCGCAGGAUAUAAUGUGAAAACCAGUCUUUGAUUGAGCAGAAUUUUUAUUAAUUUAUCAGUUAGAAUAGAAAUAAACACAAGCAAUAAUGCUAUCGCAGGCUUCUUUACUUUUGAAUAAUUUUUUAAUUUCAGAAUUUUGGAGCAGAAACAGUUCUUAGAAUACGCGCAAUGAUAAGAGAAGACCGCAUUAACUAUAUUAUUACAAAAUUAAAUGAAAUGUGUAAUGAGGAAAGCAUAACCAUAUGCACUGUAAGUGAUAUGUAUUUUUAAUACCAAAUGGAAACUUGGUGUUACGGCGAUGUGAACAGUAUGAUGAAGGAUCAUUAAUCUUUUAUAAGAGAGAUAGUACUCAGUCGCAAUCAGGACUAAAUUUAC